CUGGGGGUUAAGGCUUCAACCUGUGAAUUUGCGGGACACCAUUCAGCCCAGAGCACUGACUGGUGCUAGUUAUAUUUGUGUGUCUGGCUGUACCCUGUGAUCACCUGGUUGAUGUCAUGUUCCUGAACUUUUGUGAGUGCAAGAGAAGAGAAGUUUCUCAGGCUGAGAAAAAAACAUCAGUGUGGGGGAAGAUUUGGGACCCCUGUCUGCAUCUACCUGGACUCUCAUUAAACAGAUGAUGUGAUGAAGCAAUCAGAAAGCCUGGCCAGCUGCUCACCUCCAGGGCAGCUUCUUGGGAAGACAGUGAACAAUUCUGGGGGUUAAGAACUGUUUUUAAAAGAAAACACUAGGGAGGCUGGGGCAGGAGGAUCGUUUGAGGCCCAGGAGUUGGACGCUGCAGCUAGCUAUGAUUGUACCACUGCACUCCAGACUGGGUGACAGAGCAAGACCUUGUCUCUAAAAAAUAAAUAAAUUAACCUUUAAAAACCAAGCGCAAGGUUAGCCUUCCACUGAACCCCACCGCUGUCCAGCAUCUCGUGUCUUGGUGCCCGCUCUGAGGCAGGGUUGGAUGUGGUUUGCAGCAGGCCUUCCAGGGCUGGUUUUCAUCCUGACUUCAUGGCUGAUGCUGGCUGACCCAGGAGCCUGGCUCCCUCCCUCUAGGCCAUGUGGCACUGUGACCCGCUCCCUGGGGCCAUGGCAACUGAGGGGAGAAGUGAAUGCUUUGCUUUGGGCUUUACUCUGUAAAUUCUGCUCAUAGGGAACGCUCUGGAUCGUUGCCCAGAUUUCUCCCGUCUUCUCUGGGCCAGCCCUUUCCUCAGGUGGAGCUGGGAAAAGAGGCCAAGGACGCAGCUCUGGGAGACGACCUUCCAGGGCAGCCUUGGAACACCAUGUCCCCAGCAUCUCUGCUGGCAGGACCGCCAUGCAUGAGUGGGAAAUCGCUCACAACCUGCUCCCAUCCAAGAAUGACCAUUAAUGUCUAUUUUGGCCACUUCUCAAGUAAUUGUCAAAGCCCAGCUGGGAGAUGCCCGCACACAGAGCCCUGGGCCCAGGCCACAGGGGCACACCGUUCCUACCUUCCUUUGAAUCAAUUGUUUCAUUUAAACUCAAAGCAAAAUAUUUAAACAGACCAAGUAAUAUUUCUUUUUCUAAUCCAGGUGUGCACACGUGCGUGAGCCCUGUGUUUUCCCUUUCUGCCUCCACUUUUACAGAUCUGUGAAGUGGGGCAUUCGGCACGGUGGUGGUGAGACACAUGGGGUCUGGGGGCCAGGCUCCUACAUCCUCACUGUGCUGACUGCAUAGACCAGGGGCAGCCUGGGAAGAAGAGGCACCAGGCGGCAGAACAGGCCAGAUUGUGUCCAGGAAUUGAAAAAGCAUGUGUAUUUUUCUCAUCCCUUAUGUUUAGAGAAAAAAUAUUUAUUGCUACUUCUUUCUUAAAGCUUCAUUUUUAGUUAGCUUCUUAUGAGUUCCACAUAUGGAAACGUUUCCAUAUUUUCACAAAUCUAAGUUAAUGAUACCUUUACAACCAGCCCCCCAAUGCCCAAGUGGCCUCCAGAAGAUGACGAAUAACAUAAAUGAAAUAAAAUCAUCAGCUGAAGAAAACGUCUAAUGUAUUUGUUUCUAAAAAUUCUUGUGGUUGACUCUAUUUUAUUUAAUUUUUGGAUGGGGAGAGAGUUGUCUUGUUUGUUGCAAAUUUAUCUUUAGGUCUGAGAGAACAAAACACCCGG
rnacentral:lncRNA from 1 species